rnacentral:tRNA from 1 species
CCUUAGGUAACUUAAAGUCUAAAGUCUAAGUUUUUUAAACUUGGUAUGAUAGCAAGAACUAUCCCUUAGGU